rnacentral:rRNA from 1 species
AGAAUCAACGCUGGCGGCGUGCCUAACACAUGCAAGUCGCACGAGAAAGGGACUUCGGUCCUGAGUAAAGUGGCGCACGGGUGAGUAACACGUGAAUUAUCUACCUCCGAGUGGGGAAUAACCUAGAGAAAUCUGGGCUAAUACCGCAUAACACUUACGAGUCAAAGCAGCAAUGCGCUUGGAGAGGAGUUCGCGGCAGAUUAGUUAGUUGGCGGGGUAAUGGCCCACCAAGACGAUGAUCUGUA